AACUAUUUUCUUCUCCUGCGUGCAGCCUCAAGAAAGCCGUCUGCUCUAUUUGUCGCUCGCUCCAAUCUCUGCAUUUCCUUUACUCUCCAAAGUCCUCUCUCUGGACUGCGUUAUUUCUCACUUUGGACCGAAAUACGUCUCAAGGUGUUUAUGUGCGUGGUUUUUGAGGGUAUGAGAAGAGGACACUUGUUUUGCUGAGGUGGAGACAAUGAUUUUGACAAAGCAAUAUCGUUGCGUACACUCCUCCAGCUGUCAAUGCAUAAAAGGGCAUCUAAGUGAAGAUGUGAUUUUUUUAGUGUUUCAACAUCUGAACUGGAACCCUAAGUUGAUUGCUACUCUGUCGUGUGUAUGCAAAUGGUUUGAUGAUCUUGCCAAGCGAGUAUUGUGGAAGGCAUUUUGCCGAGCAAGGGCUCCAAAGAUGAUGCUUGAUCUGCAGUCCAGUGGAAGUCACAGCGUUGAUGGGAAUUGGAGGGCACUUGGGAAGCUGCUUAUUUACUGCUCAGGAUGUACCAGGGGUGGCCUGUUUAAUAAUGUUCACAUUCCUGGUCAUUUUGUUUAUAGGACUCGGUUUUCCAGGACGUCAGGGAAGAGCUUUCUUUUGCCACAGUGCAGGACAGAUGUAUUGUAUGUGUCUGACCCCUGUGAACAUCUUGACCAAGGGGAUGAAGGGGAUGUAGGAUUUUUCCGAGGAAUUUUUAAGUCAUUCGCAAUGUCAAAGGUCCGGACAAUGCUGAUUAAAAGGGGGGCCCAGCUCCACCCAACCGAGGUGUGUCCUUAUUGCAAAGCGAAGUUGUGGAGCAUGCAGCAAGCUGAAAUGAUUCCACAGAGUGCCAGCUGCAGACUGGGUGCCUAUGACGACUGCAUUGAAUAUUAUGUGUGCCUCAAGGGACAUGUUCUUGGAAUAUGCACUCUCUUACCAUUGUCUGAUUCCGAGGAGGUUUCUGAGCUGGAGUGAGUCAGAAUACAUGCAGUGUCUGUGGUUGUGCAGGCAUGGAAGAGCAUGCGUUUUCUGUUGAGAAAUUAGAUGCUACUGACUUGUGAGGCUUGGAUUGUUUCUUGUGGAGUGAGCAAAUGUGGAUGAGAAGGGAUAGGCUAAUCCUAUAUUGCCCUGAAGCUGUAACCAACCCUCACAAUUCUCUUCUAGACUUCAACGACAUUGCUUCCUGUUCUUGCUCAGGUCAGUUGUUUCAUAGAGAAGGGCUGGAGGCUGUUGCUGACGAGCUUAUCAUCUGUUACUUACUGUGAGCGUGUAAUACUGUGUGCUUUUUAUGUAUGCCGAUAUUUGUACUUUCAUGGCAGAUUGGUAAUUGCAAUAAUUCACAGACCCCUGUUGUCUAUGAUCGAUCAGUUGCUUUACCCUUAGAUUUUCUAUGAAAAUCUUGAUACAAAUUAGAAGGUUCAACCUCCUGUAUGCCCUCUGCGGAGGAUUAUAUUCUGCUUCCAUGGCAUAAUUUAUAUUGGUUCCAGUGAA